rnacentral:rRNA from 1 species
AGGAUUAGAUACCCUGGUAGUCCGCGCCGUAAACGAUGGGCGCUAAUUGUGGGGACCUUCCACGGUUUCUGCGACGCAGCUAACGCAUUAAGCGCCCCGCCUGGGGAGUACGAUCGCAAGAUUAAAACUCAAAGGAAUUGACGGGGACCCGCACAAGCAGCGGAGCAUGCGGCUUAAUUCGACGCAACGCGAAGAACCUUACCAAGGCUUGACAUAUAGCGAAAAGCGGCAGAGAUGUCGUGUCCGCAAGGGCGCUAUACAGGUGGUGCAUGGUUGUCGUCAGCUCGUGUCGUGAGAUGUUGGGUUAAGUCCCGCAACGAGCGCAACCCUCGUUCUGUGUUGCCAGCAUUUAGUUGGGGACUCACAGGAGACUGCCGUGGUUAACACGGAGGAAGGUGGGGAUGACGUCAAAUCAUCAUGCCCCUUAUGUCUUGGGCUGCACGCAUGCUACAAUGGCCGAUACAAAGGGCUGCAAUACCGUGAGGUGGAGCGAAUCCCAUAAAGUCGGUCUCAGUUCGGAUUGAGGUCUGCAACUCGACCUCAUGAAGUCGGAGUUGCUAGUAAUCGUAGAUCAGCAACGCUACGGUGAUACGUUCCCGGGUCUUGUACACACCGCCCGUCACGUCACGAAAGUCGGUAACACCCAAAGUCAGUGGCCCAACCGCAAGGAG